GCCUGUUGGGAACCCAGUGAAUUCUCCUCAAAAUGACAUUUAAUUUGUUGCUUUCAUAUGGUUGAGAUAGUCAAGAAGAAUGCAGUAGUAUUUGAAGAUCUUACACGUGUUUUUAACCUUAUCAGUUGUUGAUCUAGUCACAUUUUAAUGGUUUUUAUAUUUGGGACUGGGUAAUUUUUUUUUACCUUAUGUCCAACAAAGUUUAAUCUACUAUCCAU
rnacentral:misc_RNA from 1 species